AGAGUUUGAUCAUGGCUCAGGAUGAACGCUGGCGGCGUGCUUAACACAUGCAAGUCGAACGAUUAAAGCCCCUUCGGGGGUGUAUAGAGUGGCGAACGGGUGAGUAACACGUGGGCAACCUGCCCCUCACUUCGGGAUAACUCAGGGAAACCUGAGCUAAUACCGGAUACUCCUUGAAGAUCGCAUGGUCUUCUCGGGAAAGUUCCGGCGGUGAGGGAUGGGCCCGCGGCCCAUUAGCUUGUUGGUGGGGUAAUGGCCCACCAAGGCGACGAUGGGUAGCCGAGCUGAGAGGCUGACCGGCCACACUGGGACUGAGACACGGCCCAGACUCCUACGGGAGGCAGCAGUGGGGAAUCUUGCGCAAUGGGCGAAAGCCUGACGCAGCAACGCCGCGUGCGGGAUGAAGGCCUUCGGGUUGUAAACCGCUUUCAGCAGGGACGAAAAUGACUGUACCUGCAGAAGAAGCCCCGGCUAACUACGUGCCAGCAGCCGCGGUAAUACGUAGGGGGCAAGCGUUAUCCGGAUUCAUUGGGCGUAAAGCGCGCGUAGGCGGCUUGUUAAGCGAGGUGUGAAAACCGGGGGCUCAACCCGCGGCUUGCACCUCGAACUGGCAGGCUUGAGUCUGGUAGAGGAAAGUGGAAUUCCCAGUGUAGCGGUGAAAUGCGCAGAUAUUGGGAGGAACACCAGUGGCGAAGGC
rnacentral:rRNA from 1 species